rnacentral:lncRNA from 1 species
CCCAGUUUGCUAAGGCAAAAUACAGCGAUAAAAAAAAAAAAGGAAGAAAAAACACGUGGAGCAAAAGCACGCACCCCUGUGUGAAAACAGCCCCCCAGAAUCACAAAGCGACCAGAAAAUGUGUUCUUAAUCGUGAGAGGCUGAGGGCCUGCCAGCCACAGAGCUGUGAUGGGACGGAAGUGCUGGUGACAGCAGACACUGACACCUCUCAUAAAGGCUCCAAGUGCAAAACUCCAGGCUGCCAACACACCAGGAGGUCACAGAGGGGUUUUCUCCCCCAGCUGGGGGUUGCCCUGUGCCCUGACCCAUGUGCAGCCCCUGCUCUGCAGAUGGGAGCUGGGCCUCACCUGUGCCGUGAAGGCCACACCUCCCCGAUGGGGUAAACCAGCCUUCAUCAGUUAUCAGCUGUGUAAUGAGCUGUAAUGCAGUGCAGGUGUGCUGGUAGCUGGUGCUGCUGGGUGAGUGACUGGUUCCUGCCAGCACAAAGCCCAGGAGCUGCUCUGGGAGCAACACUGGAGUGUGUCUGCUGCAUCUCUGUGUGGUACAACAUGGAGCUGUGCUACCUGGGCAACUGUACUGCGGUGUGGACAUCAGUGUGCCACCCGCGUGAUGAAGAAGCGAGAAAAAACGAUCUCAAGAUCACAGUCUGUCAGAAAAAUGAACGCAUUUUAAACGGCGAAGGACGAACGCGGCGCUCGCUGGCGGGGCCCUCCCCUGCUGCCCUGCAGGAGGUGUGUAAGGCACUGAGACAAAGGCUGGGACGCCCAUCCGGACUCCAGGGACAACAGGGAGAUGGUGCCGAAGCUUGGGUGCACUUCCACCACGUAUUUCACAGCCAGGGAGGCGAAGCUGCACCCCCCAGCGCUGGCCCUGCUCAGAUGUAA